CCUCUAGGUUGAUGGGUUGAUGCCUUAAUAGGAUUAACCCCCAUGAGAGUGUUAUUGAAUAAUGCAUGAACCCAUUAAGUUCAAGAAAAGUAAAGGGUGAAACAACCAUUAGGUUGAGAAACACGUGGGUAAUUCUUAGAAUUCAAUAAUUAUUGCAUUUGAACACUUAAGUUAGAACUCUAGUGCAAGUUCACAACCCUAACUGUUUGAACAUCUUGGUGAGCAUA
rnacentral:lncRNA from 1 species